GGAGCAGCCUGGGCUGGUGGGAGGUGUCCCUGCCCAUGCAGGGGGGUUGGAACCUGAUGAUCUUUAAGGUCCCUUCCAACCCAAACCAUUCUAUGAUUCUUUCUUUGUGCUUUAUUCCUGUGGUAUUUUUCCAUCUAAAAAUCACAAAUUGCAAGAUGCAGAGCCUGAAUGAUCUGCAAAAAGUGAGCUGGUGGUGGUGGGUGCUGUGUUCUGAGGCAAGGACAAGAGCUGUGGCAGCACCACCCACCUCAGCUGACUUCAUCUCUGCCUCCUGCAGUCAUGCUAAUGCUCCUUCCCAAUUGCCAUAAUUACUCCAGAGUUUAAAGGUAGCAGGGAGAAGCCUGAAUUUCCCUACAAUUCAGGUAUGUAGUAUCUAGGAACUUGGGCAGUUCAGCUGUACACAAGCUUUAUCAGAUUCUUGGAGUACAGAAGGUGAAGGUCAGAGCUGUUUCCUCAUUAGCUGUUUGUAUUAGAUACUGUGCAAAGAAGAUAUUAGAAGCCACCUACCAGGAUAAUUGUUUUAUAUUAUCUUACCCAUCCUGCUCCUCUGAUUCACUAACAUUACUGAGGUCAGGAAUGGGUAGUUUUACACAGGUGACAACAAAAGCUAUGUGGUAAUGUCUCCUAUUUCCAUCCUGCUACACAACCUCCUCCCUUCUGGUGAGCAGCCAUGCCCUGGGGCAGGAUGUCUCUUCCCAGCUCCCCCUGGAGCCUGUGCACAUUUUAUCACAGCUGGUAAAAUCCAGGAACAUGAAGGGUUCCUGAAGAGCAGGACAAGUCAGGAUCAUUUCUGAGCAGGACUGAAAAGGGCAAGGGACUCCCUGUGUAAGGCUGAUAUGCUGCAAACCCCAGGCUGCAGGGUGGCCCGUGGUGGCUUUUGUGGAGUUGUUGUUGGAAUCUGGUUGCUGGUGCAGCUGCAGCCUCAAGGGACACACACCCAAGCACCCAGGGGCCAGCAGCACCACAGAGCUGUGUUCAGCUCUUUUCUUUAAGGCAGCUGCUACCUCUUCAUAAACAGCUGAUAAAUUCAGUUUGGGGCUACUACCACCUCUGAAGAAGGUCCCAUAAAUUUAAGCAACUAGUUAAUAACUAGUGAGAGGACAAGAGGCCUGGCAGCAUUGCUCCAAAGCAAGAGUAACCCCUUUGCUGCAGGCAGGUAUGUUCAGAUGAGGCUACAGCUGCCAGGAAUGGGAGCCACACAGCACUUUAAAUGUGUACAUACUUAUGGUAAUAAAUGUUUAGGGCUUUGUGUUUU